UGAUGAUGAUAAAAGCCUGAUUUAGUUAAUUGUUGUAACCCGAUGUUAGGAGUUUUUCUUUUCCAACAGUCUAAUCUGUUGAGUGUAUAGGAAUAAUAA